rnacentral:rRNA from 1 species
AUUGAACGCUGGCGGCAUGCCUUACACAUGCAAGUCGAACGGCAGCACGGGAGCAAUCCUGGUGGCGAGUGGCGAACGGGUGAGUAAUAUAUCGGAACGUGCCCGGUCGUGGGGGAUAACGUAGCGAAAGCUACGCUAAUACCGCAUACGAUCUACGGAUGAAAGCGGGGAUCGCAAGACCUCGCGCGAUUGGAGCGGCCGAUAUCAGAUUAGGUAGUUGGUGAGGUAAAGGCUCACCAAGCCGACGAUCUGUAGCUGGUCUGAGAGGACGACCAGCCACACUGGGACUGAGGCACGGCCCAGACUCCUACGGGAGGCAGCAGUGGGGAAUUUUGGACAAUGGGCGCAAGCCUGAUCCAGCAAUGCCGCGUGCAGGAUGAAGGCCUUCGGGUUGUAAACUGCUUUUGUACGGAACGAAACGGUGAGCUCUAAUACAGUUUGCUAAUGACGGUACCGUAAGAAUAAGCACCGGCUAACUACGUG